UGUGGGAGCUGGCUUGCCAGCGAUGGCGUCAUGUCAGCAACCUUUACUUCGCUGACAGACUGCUAUCGCUGGCAAGCCAGCUCCCACA
rnacentral:antisense_RNA from 1 species